ensembl:lncRNA novel transcript
GAACAGAGGUGAGAACAGAGACAGAAUGAGCAGUUAGACCAUGAUUGCAAGAGUCCAGGUGAGGGGCACCAAGAUGGAAAGGAUCCAAUCCACUGUCAUAACUCCCUUGCGUCACUACUAGGAAGGAAAAUUGCCUCCAGCCUUCUCCAGCUCUGGCAGGGAAGUUUCAGUUAUCUGGGUGAGGAUAAGCUUCUCCAGGAGUCCAAGGCUGCUGCAACAGCUGGGCUCAGCAUUGAAAUGGGGACCAUCUGGGAGCCACACGACGGAGACUGAGUUGGCACCUUGAGAGGGAGGCAGAGCUGCGAUGCACAGAGCGGUGCUGAGGCAGACUCACAGCUAUGCAGCAAUCGCGUCCCCAGCCCAGCACCAGCACUACUGACUGGGAAAGGACUUCUCGCCCCGAUGCCUGCCCUGCUGCAAAAACCCCCUAGCUUCCUUUCAGCACAAAGCACAGCUGCUCUUUGUCUUUCAUUUUCACCCUGAAUCAGCUGUCCCCAGCCUACGUGGCCAGUGCCUGCCCUUCUGCACUUCCCACCCUGUGCUGUUUCUCGCCACCUGUUGUCAGCCUGCGCCUGCCAUGUGACUUUUAAGAAAAAAGACAACCUUCAUCCUUCCACUUAGACAUUCUUUUUUUCUUAGCCAGAAUCUUUCUUUCUCUCCCUAGAAAAUGUCUUUGAGACUAUACUUAAUGAUUUUUUUUUUUUUGAUGGAGUCUCGCUCUGUUGUCCAGGCUGGAGUGCAGUGGCACCAUCUCAGCUCACUGCAACCUCCAUCUACCUGGUUCAAGCGAUUCUUGUGCCUCAGCCUCCCCAGUAGCUAGGAUUACAGGUGCACACCACCAUGCCUGGUUAAGUUUUAUAUUUUUAGUAGAAACAGAGUUUCACCAUGUUGGCCAGGCUGGUCUCGAACUCCUGACCUCAAGUGAUCCACCUGCCUUGGCCUCCCAAAAUGCUGGGAUUACAGGCGUGAGCCACCGAGCCCGGCUAAGUAAUGAUUUUCUAUUCGUUUCUUCCUUCUAUCUCCCCGCCCCCUCUUCUUUUAUAAGUGUCCUUAUUGGAUUUUUUUCUCUGAUCAUCGGUAGGGAAGGUGAGUGGAUGAGGGAGACCAGUUAGAGGGCUGGAAAAAUGGUCUCAGAAGAGAACAGUGCAGAUGGUGAGAAGUGGAUGUGUUGGACUAGAAAUGGAUAAAAUCCACAGAAGUUACAUAUGGGAAGGAUGAGGCCCACCAAGAGCCAGUGACAUGCCUCAAGGUUAUGUAAUUGACCAAGGGACAGAUCAGGGAAUCUAGGCCUACAUCCCUGCGGCCCCUAGACUAUCUCAAUACCUGGAUAUAUCACUUAUCUACUCUAUUCUACAUAUUGUCCAGGGGUAUGGAGAUAUCUGGCCUAAUCACAAUUCAUCACUCAGAGUGCUGCAUGUAACAAGGGUGUGUGCACACUUGAGAAGCCAAAAGGGGACCUACUGACUUCUGGACUUCUGAGAAGUACGUCAUAUCUUCCCACAGCUUCAGAACUUGGAGUUUCAGGGAAUCUGUUGACGACUGGGCCAUGGAAUUAGAGGGGCAUGUUUUGGACUACGAGCAGUGGAGAUAAGAAUCCCCAACUCAUCCAUCAUCAGCUUUGUAAGAGUGGGAGGGCAGACUCUGCCUCUGUGGCGCUGUCCCUAAACCUCUCUUGGAGUCAGAGUACCCAGCUUAAGAAAGCACCUAUGGAACAAGGUCACAUGGAAUGAUGGUGAUCGAUAUAGACGUGAUCUCAGAGUUCACUCCCUCAUCAUACAGUGGAGGAAACGAGGCCCAGGGAGGGGCGGAACAUUUUUCCAAGUCAUACAGCAAGAACUCAGAGGCCUCUUGGUUCCUGCUCUUGCCUUGAGGUGGUUCUGCGGGGCGCUCCAGAGCCCCCAAGAAAUUCUUCUGAAAUUCAGUUCUCCACAGGACACCUGGGCUCCUCCUCUGUCCUCCCAGCCCCUCACAGAGGAGUAGUUUCCCUUCUGGCCUGCCUAAGUCUGUCUUGUCUUCUGGACUUCAGUGGCCACCAUGGACCUCCCAAGCUUUCUCUUGGGCUCUUCCAGUGCCGACCUCAGCUUGGCUGCCUCACACUCUGUCUGGUGGGCACUUACAGGAGCCAUGUCCACAGACCACCUCGCCUGGGCUGUGGAGGCCCCGUUCUGAGACCACGUGCAGUCCAAAAAAGGAAGCUAAAAGGGGUCAGAGGAAAACAUCCCCGUGUAGGGUGAGGGUGAAUCUCAGUCUCCCUGUCAACUCUCUUUAUCCUGACAUCCAGAAUUCCAGACCUUUGUGGGCACUGAUCCCUGAGACUGGGCUCUUUAAGCUCUUUCACUGAUCCCUGGGGUCCGAAACUUUCAGCUUGCACUUUGGUUUGGUAAACCACUGACUGUCCUACCAAACGCCCCCGCACCCCACAAACUCAACCUGUGCUCUUCAUGUGCUAUCUCCUGUUCGAUCCCCACACUGACCUUCUGGGUUAGGGACUUGCAUGUCCCCAUUUUAUAGAUGAGGAGCCUGAGGCCCAGAGAGGCUGGAGUGCAAUGGUAUGAUCUUGGCUCACUGCAACCUCCGCCUCCUGGAUUCAAGCAAUUCUCCUGCCUCAGCUUCCCAAAUAGAUUCCAGACAUUGUAUGGAAAAGCAUCGUGAAAAUCCCUGGCCUGUUCUGCUCUGUUCUGAUUACCGGUGCGUGCAGCCCGCAGUCACGUACCCGCUGGUUGCUCAAUCGAUCACGACCCUCUCACACGGACCCCCUUAGAGCUGUAAGCCCUUAAAAGGGACAGGAAUUGCUCGCUCGGGGAGCUCGGUUUUUGGAGACGUGAGUCCGCCGGUGCUCCCAGCUGAAUAAAGCCCUUUCCUUCCAC